rnacentral:tRNA from 1 species
GCCUGGGUAGCUCAGUAGUUGAGCGUCUGCCUUCAGCUCAGGUCAUGAUUCCGUGGUCUCAGGAUCGAGUCCUGCAUCAGGCU